rnacentral:tRNA from 1 species
GCGGCUGUGGCGGAACGGUCUACGCGCACGGUUCAGGGCCGUGUGGGGGAAACCCCUUGGAGGUUCGAAUCCUCUCAGCCGCA